rnacentral:rRNA from 2 species
UAGAGUUUGAUCAUGGCUCAGUGACGAACGCUGGCGGCGCGCCUAACACAUGCAAGUCGAACGAGGUCAUUUAGGAGCUUGCUCCUGGCUGAUCUAGUGGCGGACGGGUGAGUAACACGUGAGCAACCUGCCGAGGAGUGGGGAAUAACGUUUGGAAACGAACGCUAAUACCGCAUGAUAUAUUGGGAAGGCAUCUUCCCUUUAUCAAAGGAGAAAUCCGCUCUUUGAUGGGCUCGCGCCUGAUUAGAUAGUUGGUGGGGUAAAGGCCUACCAAGUCUGCGAUCAGUAGCCGGACUGAGAGGUUGAACGGCCACAUUGGGACUGAGACACGGCCCAGACUCCUACGGGAGGCAGCAGUGGGGGAUAUUGCACAAUGGGGGAAACCCUGAUGCAGCGACGCCGCGUGAGUGAAGACGGCCUUCGGGUUGUAAAAGCUCUGUGGUGGGGGACGAUAAUGACGGUA